rnacentral:rRNA from 1 species
GAUGAACGCUGGCGGCGUGCCUAAUACAUGCAAGUCGAGCGAACGGACGAGAAGCUUGCUUCUCUGAUGUUAGCGGCGGACGGGUGAGUAACACAUGGAUAACCUACCUAUAAGACUGGGAUAACUUCGGGAAACCGGAGCUAAUACCGGAUAAUAUUUUGAACCGCAUGGUUCAAAAGUGAAAGACGGUCUUGCUGUCACUCAUAGAUGGAUCCGCGCUGCAUUAGCUAGUUGGUAAGGUAACGGCUUACCAAGGCAACGAUGCAUAGCCGACCUGAGAGGGUGAUCGGCCACACUGGAACUGAGACACGGUCCAGACUCCUACGGGAGGCAGCAGUAGGGAAUCUUCCGCAAUGGGCGAAAGCCUGACGGAGCAACGCCGCGUGAGUGAUGAAGGUCUUCGGAUCGUAAAACUCUGUUAUUAGGGAAGAACAUAUGUGUAAGUAACCGUGCACAUCUUGACGGUACCUAAUCAGAAAGCCACGGCUAACUACGUG